rnacentral:piRNA from 1 species
UGCAAGUUGAGUGCUGGUGACUGGCACGCAC